rnacentral:rRNA from 1 species
AUUGAACGCUGGCGGCAGGCCUAACACAUGCAAGUCGAGCGGAUGAGUGGAGCUUGCUCCAUGAUUCAGCGGCGGACGGGCGAGUAAUGCCUAGGAAUCUGCCUGGUAGUGGGGGACAACGUUUCGAAAGGAACGCUAAUACCGCAUACGUCCUACGGGAGCCAGCAGGGCACCUCCAGUCCUUGCGCUAUCAGAUGACCCUAGGUCGGAUUAGCUAGUAGGUAAGGUAAUGGCCCACCUAGGCGACGCUCCGUAACUUGUCUGAGAGGAUGAUCAGUCACACUGGAACUGAGACGCGGUCCAGACUCCUACGGGAGGCAGCAGUGGGGAAUAUUGGACAAUGGGCGAAAGCCUGAUCCAGCCAUGCCGCGUGUGUGAAGAAGGUCUUCGGAUUGUAAAGCACUUUAAGUUGGGAGGAAGGGCAGUAAGUUAAUACCUUGCUGUUUUGACGUUACCAACAGAAUAAGCACCGGCUAACUUCGUGCCAGCCGCCGCCGUAA